UCCCGCUGAAGUUAAGCAUAUCUUUAAGCGUAGGAGAAGAAACUAACAAGGAUUCCCCUAGUAACUGCGAGUGAAGCGGGAAAAGCUCAAAUUUAAAAUCUGGCGGUCUUUCGGCCGUCCCAGUUGUAAUCUGGAGAAACGUUUAUCCGCGUUGGACCGUGUACCAGUCUUCUGGAAGGGAGCGUCAUAGAGGGUGAGAAUCCCGUCUUUGACACGGACUACCAAUGCUUUUGUGAUGCGCUCUCGAAGAGUCGAGUUGUUUGGGAAUGCAGCUCAAAAUGGGUGGUAAAUUCCAUCUAAUGCUAAAUAUUGGCGAGAGACCCAUAGCGAACAAGUACCGUGAGGGAAAGAUGAAAAGCACUUUGGAAAGAGAGUUAACCAGUACGUGAAAUUGUUGACAGGGAAACGUUUGUAGUCAGUCGCGUCGGCCGAGACUCAGCCUUGCUUCCGCUCGGUGCACUUCUCGGUUGACGGGUCACCAUCAAUUUCGACCGCCGGAUAAAGGUUGAGGGAACGUGACAUCUUUCGAGGUGUGUUAUAGCCCUUGAUUCGCAUACGGCGAUUGGGAUUGAGGAACUCAGCGCGCCUUUAUGGUCGUGGUAGCUUCCCACGUAACGCGCUCAGGAUGCUGGCAUAAUGGCUUUAAACGACCCGUCGUGAAACACG
rnacentral:rRNA from 1 species